GCUCUCAUCCCUUAUUUAUUCACAAAUGUGAGCUGCGUUCUUACAUUGCACAUUGCUAUAAAAAGAGAAGAUGCGACGCUUCUUUCAGGUGCUGUUUUGUUUUAGUGAAUGGAAAGCAGUGAUUGAAGCUUCCGAUUCGGGUUUAUUUCUGUCUCCCAGCGGAACAAUAUGGCCAACAAUACCUAAUAUUGCUCUCAUUUUUAAGAGAGGACGGAUGAAGCAGCUCUCUGCACAUCCUCUGUGAAGUUAAAUAAGCGUUUUGAUUUUUUUUCUUUUCUUCUUCAUUUGGUAGCCAAUGGAUGUUGGUUAGCACCAGCACCAACGAGGAGAAAUCCUCCCGGCUGUUCAUAUUCUCAGACAACACAUCAACGAAUGCCCUUUAAAUGAAGUGAAUUCCAACUUUUCUCCUGUGGAUGAAGUGCCUCUGCACUGUCUGUGAGGCUGAACAGGAAAUCUUUGCCCCGUGAAAUCCCGUGCAAUAACCGCCUGGUGAUGGCGGGAUGGACUCUCGCACAUCUUGAACGCGUUUGAUUGCCCAUAUGCUUUAAAUUUGCUCAUGUAACCAUAUGUUGAAAACUUCCCCAAAUGCUACUUUGUCUUGUUUUUGGUCCCUGUUUUGAAGUUCUAAGAACACGGCAGCCUGACGGGGCUCCUCCAGGCUGUGCCAAGCGGAUUGCAACCUGCUGCUCAGCAGGGACCCCGGGCACCAGGCGUGGGAGGAGCGUUAAUAGCAGGGCAGCCUGGCAAGUGAGUGAGGGAGGAGGACAAAGAACUCACUUUGGGAGGUUUCCUGACUUAUUUCUAGGGAUUGCUGGUUCUUUCCUCGUGCUGUCACCAUACCCUUGUGUUUUCUGAACUACUCCAGAAAGAAUAACCUUCUCUGAUGGCAUUUAGUUUUCCUUAAGGGGAUGGAAAGGUUCUUCCAGUGGGCAAUUCACGCUUCCCCGUGGUGAUAUGCAGACUGGCUGAAAAGAUUGAUGUGGGAGCUGUAUGAGCUCCUGCCUCAGCCCUCUGCUCCUCCAACGUGCUCAUGCAUUUGGGUGUACCAUGGCCGUGCCAGAGGAAAGCUGAGAUAUAGAGGUGUGGGAGCAGCCUGCAGGCAUCAGGGAUGUGGGGAGUGCUGGUAGUGCAGGCUGGUGUGAAGCCAGCAGAAGAGGGCUUUUUAGGUGUCUGUAUGGUAACUACCCCAUAUCAAGCCCCUCCUACGUAGCUGCUAAAGGAGUUGAUGCAGAAUGACUUCAGUUCCCAGUCAUCAGCUCUGGGCAACAGGAGUUGCUCAUUGUCUUAAAGCAGCUGCUUUGGUAGCUCCCUUCAUGCCCAAGGCUGCUGUCACCCCUCGGCCUUCUUGUUUGCAUGUCGGUCCAGCUGCUACCACCUCUGCAGUUAUCAGUGGAGAGAUGCAGUGCUGUUCCUGCAGGCAGCUGAGAUCUCAUUAGUUAGUUAGUUAGAAAGUUAGGGUUUUUUUCUCUCAAAUGAUAAUGUCGUAUGUGGUUAUUCUUCUAUAACUUCAGGUUCUUGCUACCUUAAGACUAUGCAUUUUGAGGAAUACACCAGCAUUCAUAGAAUCACAGAAUCAGUCAGGUUGGAAAAGACCUCUCAGAUCCUCAGGUCUAACCCAGCCCAUCCCACCAUACCCACUAUGUCCCCCAGUGCCAC
ensembl:lncRNA